rnacentral:snoRNA from 1 species
AACCUAUGGUGAGGCACCUUGUCAGAAGGUCCUUGUAUCUCUCCCAUGCAUCAUAGAGUGUUUCUAAAUCCAUCCGCACAAAAGAAGAGAUAUCAUUACAUAAUUU